rnacentral:rRNA from 1 species
UACGAGGGGUGCAAGUGUUUGCUCGGAAUUAUUUGGGCGUAAAGGGUAGGUAGGUGGUCUCAUUUGUCUAGGGUGAAAGCCUUGAGCUUAACUCAAGAAGUGCCCUAGAAACGGUGAGACUGGAGUCUUGGAGAGGGUCGUGGAAUUCCCGGUGUAGCGGUGAAAUGCGUAGAGAUCGGGAGGAACACCAGCGGCGAAGGCGGGUUGCUGGGCUGACACUGACGCUGAAGCGCGAAAGCUAGGGGAGCGAACGGG